GUUUAGCCUCUCAUCAAAAGGACUUCAUUCACCCCGCAAUUACCGUGAAACUCAGAAAGGGAGCCUCCCUUCAUUUAAUCAUACACUAGGCAGUUGCUUCUCCUCGAAUCACCAGACUGAUCAUCAGCCAGUCGUCUUUAUAAUAUAAUAGAGGAAUUUACCGUUAUGUUCUACAAAAGCCCCGUGAACUGACUGACACCUUCGCUUUCAUUUUUCAUACCGAUCACCGUUGACACUAGUAAAAAAUUAAAAAUGUCCAUGGAAUGGAACCACAAACGGAAGCCAACUUACGACUCCCACCUGGUACAGGGCUGGCCGUGUCAACGAAUGAUUACAAACACGGACAUGGGCCUCCCUGCCACUCGAGUGUAUGUAGGUUGAAUCAAGGUGAAAUACACACUUCGUAUUUUCUCACAAAACCUAAGAUAGAUGGUUAGAGAAAACAAGUAUCUCGUGAUUU